rnacentral:rRNA from 1 species
GGAGGGGGGGCAAGCGUUGUUCGGAAUUACUGGGCGUAAAGGGCGCGUAGGCGGACUAUCAAGUCAGAGGGUGAAAGCCCUGGGGCUCAACCUGGGAACUGCCUUUGAAACUAAUAGUCUAGAGUCCGAGAGAGGAUGGCGGAAUUCCCAGUGUAGAGGUGAAAUUCGUAGAUAUUGGGAAGAACACCAGUGGCGAAGGCGGCCAUCUGGCUCGGUACUGACGCUGAGGCGCGAAAGCGUGGGGAGCAAACAGGAUUAGAUACCCUGGUAGUCCACGCCGUAAACGAUGUGUGCUAGCCGUUGGAAAACCUAGUUUUUCAGUGGCGCAGCUAACGCAUUAAGCACACCGCCUGGGGAGUACGGUCGCAAGAUUA